GGUAUAGACACCAAGACCCUCAUUGAUACUUCACCACAAGUAAUGGAUUAUAUUUUCGCAGUUUUUCUACCUGUCGUUUUUUUGGCUAUGUUGUUUAGUGCCAUUUUUAAAAAGUCAGAAAUCUUAUUUUAUGCAAUGAUCACGUACAUAAUUAUAUGGACCUUAAUGACUGUGUAUUCAUCUCUGGGAGAACAAAAAGGCUGGUUUUUCUGGUGUAAAUUUCCUCCUACUAUGCUGGAUGGAUCAAAAAAUGAAGAAGUUAAUUUUGAAUCAAAAUUCUUUUCAACUAUUCGCGCUGUGGGCGAAUAUGUGGCUGGAGCGUUUUACAUGUUGAUGGUGUAUAUGAGUGUUCUCGAACUUCGACGUGGCUAUUCAAUAUCAGACCAAGUCUCCAGUGUAUAAUAUGCUCGAGUCAAAAAAACAUGGAUACACAAGAGUUGUUCAAAUUAAAAUACGAGA